AAAAAGAUGCAAGGUAACCCUCCCCUUCUUUUCUUGCAGAUGUCAGAAGACACAGAUAACACUGCAGGAAAAGAAAAUGUAGAGAAGCAUCUCCAAAAAGAUUUGAAUGUAGAAGAAAAUCGAAGCAUAAUAGAAACUCUGAGAAGCAAAGUAAGAGAAAAGCUAAAAAAUGCCAAGUGUGUUUCAGAUUAAUCAAGGUGAAAAAUCAUCAACUCAACUGCUCAUUGAUAAUAAGAUAUAUCAGUGGUCUAAGGUGAAUAGCUCUUUUUUAACUUUUUAAAACAGCUUUAUUGAGAUGUACUUUACAGAGCAAAAAUUCACCCAUUUUAAGUGUACAAUUCAGUGAAUUUUAGUAAACUUACAGAAUUAUGCUGUCAACACUAUAAUGCAAUCUUAGACCAUUUUUGUGACUCUUGUGCCAGUUUUCAGUCACUCUCUAUUUCUACUUGACGUUAUUUUUUAUCCUAAAAAAUUAUAAUACAGUAUUUUAGGUGAUCCCUGACUUACAGAUUUUGUUCUAAAAUCCCAUGUGUAAUCAUAUAUUUGAAACUUGAAAUGACAAAACAACUCACAUUUUGAAAGAACUGUGUUAUUUAGAGUAAAGGCAAAGCAGCUUUAACAAAAAGAUGCAAACUAAAAUAUCUUCUUUAAGGUAGAAGUUUUAGUCCUCUUUAAUUUAACAGAUAAGUAGUCCAGGCUGCUAGAUGGAGAA